CAACCAGAGGUGCCAUUUCCCAAAACUCGAUCUAACCAUGUACUAAUCCACAGGCUACUAAUGCUUCCCAUUGUUUCGCUCCUCUUGGGUUAGUGAUAUGUGAUCCAUUAUUUUUACAUGAGAUACUCAACACCUUAUUAUAAAAUAAGCUCUGUGUUAGAUAGUUUUGCCCAACUGUAGGGUAGGGUAAAUGUUCUGAGCACGUUGAAGAUAGGCUAGGCUAAGCCCUGAUGUUUGGUAGGUCAGGCAUAUUAAAUGCAUUUUUGACUUAAUUAUAUUUUCAAUUGAUGAUGGGUUCAUCAGGAGGUAAUCGUAAGUCAAAGAGCAUCUAGACCCUGGACCCACUCUGAACAGCCUCACCUAAUGUCCCCCGAUAUUGAAACUAGACAAGUCUCUCCCAAGAUUGCUGCUUCCAUGUUGUUCUAGUCCAUUCCUGUCACUCAUGUUACUACAUCCAGCUCUGCAUAUCCCAAAUCUUGCCCUUUUCCUGGACUCCCUGCAACUCCUCCUUGUCCCACUGUACACCUGGUAGGACUCUGAUUCGUACAGAUUUCCUCUAUCUUCACAUUAUAAUGUUACC
rnacentral:lncRNA from 10 species